GCUGGUGUAGCACAGUCGGUAGUGCAUCUGAUUCGUAAUCAGAAGGUCACGUGUUCAAGUCACGCCACCAGCUCCA
rnacentral:tRNA from 1 species